rnacentral:sRNA from 1 species
GAUACCAGGGUCAAAAGGUCAGAAGUUCGACGCAAGCUUGCUUGCAGGAGAAUUUUUGACCUUGAGACCCGCCAAAAACAUGAGUAAGCAGCCAUUUUUCAAAGAAAAAUGAGCGAAUUACGAAUGUUUUUGAGGGUGCUAUGUGCCAGUGGCACAUGUUUAGCACCGACCGAAGCAGAGCGGAGAUGCGGGAGCACGUAGUGCGGAGCAAUCCGGU